rnacentral:lncRNA from 1 species
GCAGGUUAGUUACAUAUGUAUACAUGUGCCAUGCUGGUGCGCUGCACCCACUAACUCGUCAUCUAGCAUUAGGUAUAUCUCCCAAUGCUAUCCCUCCCCCCUCCCCCCACCCCACAACAGUCCCCAGAGUGUGAUAUUCCCCUUCCUGUGUCCAUGUGAUCUCGUUGUUCAAUUCCCACCUAUGAGUGAGAAUAUGCGGUGUUUGGUUUUUUGUUCUUGCGAUAGUUUACUGAGAAUGAUGAUUUCCAAUUUCAUCCAUGUCCCUACAAAGGACAUGAACUCAUCAUUUUUUAUGGCUGCAUAGUAUUCCAUGGCACACGUAUGUUUAUUGCGGCAUUAUUCACAAUAGCUCAGCUCUCAUUUCUGUCUGAGUGGCUUCCAAACUGCCUGUGGCUUUAAUGAUCAACAUUCUGAGAUACAUGCAGCUUUGAUUAUUUAUACAGGGAUAAGAAUAAAAAUCUGGGAGGUCUAGUGAAUGCAGAACUUGACAUUGUUAAUGCAGAAUAAUUGCGUUCUGCAAAGAAGAGGAAAUUCUU